GCUGCUGAAUUCCAAAUACGAUCCAUGGCUAUUCUCGAAAUGCCACUGUUUCUUUGUUUUUACAAUGGCAUCAUAUAACAGGCCUGAAUUGAUUUGCAUACUUUUCACCUAUCUGGUCUGGCUCUGCUUUUGAGACCUUCGGUGUCCAAAACUGACAUGUUUAAAACAAACAACAUACCUCAAUGUUUUUGAAAUGUAAAAAUGUCUUUAAUACUCUCUAUAUCCUGAGAAAGGGACCUUUUCUUCCUUGUGCAUCUAAGUUACUCACAAGGGGAAAAGACUUAUAAAACCAAAUCAACCUUAGAAUCAAGACAGGGAAAUAUAAGUAACUACUUUUACCUUGUCUUCCUUUCCUCUUGUUCUGUUUACUAGAAAUUAGUAAGCCAAGCAGAUUCUGUGUAUUUAUCAUAGUGCCCAGAUGAUUUAGUUAUAUCCAGAAUCCAGCUGUGCCCAAACAGAAAGCGCCUAGAGGACUCAAAUAUAGUUUUCCCAGUUCUCCUGUCAUUUGCCACUAAAGACCUUGGGUACCAUCAAGAAACUAGCAAGGUUAGAACCCUAGAGAGACAGAGUUAAUUCCCUGCUUCUGCCAUCCCUGGUGAAAUGCCAUUUCACUUUUCUGUAUUUCAGUUUCUGUGUGCAUUGUAUUUUCUUCCUCUUUUUUUUACUUCUGUCAUUGCUUUGUUUCGUGUUGUUUUUUUUCCAUAUUUGUUUUGACAGUAAGCUCUUCAGCAUAGGAAUAGUGCAUCUAAAUGGCCCAGUCUGAGUUGGAAGUUCUUUGUGUUGGUGUAAUGAAGCUAAUAAAUUCUUUAGUCCAGGCACUCUAUCUCACUUCGUCACUUUAUUUUACUACAUGUAGUUCCUCACAGCAUUUUCUGUUCACUAAUAUUCUGGUUUAGCCAGGACAAGCAGAUUAGAAGGAGCAGGACUCCUGCUACUACCCUUGCAAAAAGGUGGAGGUCAUGGCCAGAUCCAGUUAAAGAACAAGAACCUGAGAGACACAGAAGUUAGUAUUGCAUUCAGCAACCCAGUGUUCUGCGCUUUCUCACCUCAGAUUCAGCUUUUGCAUUGAAAUUAUCUCCUGUCUUGAUUUUCCUGCUUCAAUUAUCUGUACUGUUUGUUCUUUUUCUUCUCAUGUUAUUUUUCUUUUCAUGUUAUUAAGCUCUUUUUCUGCUGUCUUGACUGCAAAAAUCUCAUUCUGAAUAUACACAGCAUCCCAUACAACCUUCAGGCAGCGGUGAAUCUCCAAUACUGUUAUUUAUAAUAGAUAUUUUGUGGACACUAUACACACAAUAGCAAAUCUAUUGAAGUGUAAAGAGAAAAAUUGCUCAAUACAAUACAACUCUUCAGGAACACAUUUUGGUGUAGCUCUCAAUCACACACAAACAUGAAGUUAUACUGUCUGUCAUAAAAGAAUUGAAUGUGAUAAAUUCUGUGAACAGUAUACUAAAGCUGAAAAAGCUAGCCACUUUCACUGUACCAGCUCCAGGAAGCUGGCUUGAUUUCCUUUUGGUCUUAUAUUUAACAAAUUGCUAUGAAAUUAUGCGGGUGUUCAUUUCUUUCUCUUCAAAACACAGCUUUUUGAAACUUUAUUCUUAAAUAUUUUCUGUUCACAUCCUAAUGGAUAAAUAUUCACAUCUCAGAAUUUCCCACAGCUGGCAGAAAUGGGCAGCCCUGUUGUUUGUUAGAAGAGAGGCAAAGGACUGAAAUGGAAUAGCUUUACUGCCCCAUAAAUGUGAUCUCAUUAAAUCAAUCUGCAGGUCUGGAAAAUUCAUAGUUCUUCCAUUGGAUUGCUUCAACACUGCAUGUGUGUGUUCUGUGAAUAAUGUGGGGACUUACAUGCCUGAUCCAAAACCAGCUGAAGCUGGCAGAAAGAAUCCAUUGUUUUGAUUGUAAUUCCUUAGAGUGUAUGUCCUCAUCAGAUUAAAAUAGGUGUGCAGAAAUACCUGUGCCAAGCUCCUGUGCCUGCUUGCAACUUAGGGGAAGCACUCAUAUUUCUGCUGUUUUUUUAAAUGAGGAAACCCAAUCCUGGUGCAGAAGGGAGCCAGCCAAAUUAAGUAAACAAUGGAGCAGGACUACAGGAGAAUUUUUACACUGCAUGUCUAGAAGCAGGAAGACUGAACUCACAGCCUUAGGGGAGGAUAAGUAUGACUAAACCGUAUAUUUGUGCUCCUCUGGUCCUGGGUUGCUCAGCUGUCUGAACUAGCUUCCAACUGGUGCUGAAGUUCUGGUUCUGACAGUUCCCAUUUGCCAUGUUUUGCAAAAGGCCUGUGAAUAAACAGCCUUUCUACUCUUUAUGACUUUAUACUGUCACCAACAAGGACUCCACCAAUUCCAGAAUACUCCAACUAUCUUAGCAGGCAUAAAGUCAGUAGAGCACUCUUGCAAAGACAUUUAAAGUGCGCAAGAACUGCUUCACUUUUUUUGAGAUGUCCUAAGUAAUAUCCAUGAGGCUCCCUUGCCAGGAAGCACUGUGGUGAUACAGCUCUGUCUUCACUGUUUCAGUUCAUCGCUGAGCUUAUUCCCAAAACUAACAGGAGAGAUGCAGAAGACAUAACACUGGAGGCUGUGGUGAAACCACAGAACUUCCUUGCUGUCAGUGUCAGCCAUAUGGACUUUUCAUAAUUGUGCAAAAAUACUAUAUAGAGAAUAAAUAUAUAAACACAACUUUUUAUUGUAGCCAACAAAAGAGCAGUGUAACUGGGAGGAAAGUGAGGAAUUAAUCAAACGUGUAGUCGACCGUGCAAACAUGAGAAUUGUGCUAUAAGGCCAGAAUUUCUGUGAAAUAACAAAUACCUCAGAGUAUCUUUUCAUUCAUUUUAUUUCCUGGAUUAAGUUAUUAAUGAUUGCCAAGUGUUUGGGAUAUUUAGAAGACAGAAAUAAACUAGAAUGUAUAGCAAGUUUGUCCUGACCCUCACUUUUCUAUUGCUACCCCUUGCUUCCUGGCUCUCUUGCUUCUCCCUCUCUGUUCCUUAAACUGCUUGUCCUCAUUGGUGACCAUGUCGCAGUCCUUCACCAAUUAAAAGCUUUUCAGGAUAGUCCCUGUAGAUGGUUUCUGAUCUGACCAUUUCUCCUGAUUCCUUACUAGUCUUUAAUAAAGGUGAGUCUCAGAAGUUCUUGCUUGAAAUAAGCUUUCAAGCAGCAUGUGUGUAUUAGCCAGGCUGACUGAAGACAGAGGUAGUAUGAGAACUGGGAGUCCUUUUAAAGAGUAUUUUCAAUAUAUAAAGAUUCAUGUGAUGAGGCUCUGGAAACAAGACAUUAAACAAAUCAAAAAUUAAGUCCAAUGGGCAUAAUUUAAAAACCUUUUUACUUGGCUCAGUAGAAUCUGUUCAGUUUUCUUUCUUAGGAGGGCCAUGAACUUCUGUUUUUCCUGUUUCUUCUGGGCUCACUAUUUGUAUUCUGAUAUAACUGCACAGAAAAAGAUUGCCUCUUGGAGAGUUCAGUUACAUACGCUGUUCAAGUGAUCCUGACAAGGAUGAAUGAUAAUAAAAAUUGUCCAUCUUUUGAACGUGAUUUGGAUUACACUGCAGAAAUUACAUGUCAAUAUGGGUAGAGAUGUAUGGGGGAUAUACACAAGAAAUAUAGGGUUAUAUGUGGACAUGAUUUGUCAUUCCCCUCUUGACACUACUCACUCUACAUGCCUGUUCUUUAUUUAUAAGCAAGAAGCAUGCUGACAUUUCAGUAUUCCUUCAGCUCAACAGUUCAGUCACAGCAAGAAAAGCAACAUGUGUAACCAUGAAUAGCCUGAGAUUCAUUUCACUUGAUUUUCCAAGAAUUUAAUUGAAAGGUGAGGCUUUGUGACACAGCCAUGGAGCUUAUCUGUGGCAGCACUGCUUCACUGGGGAACUUUGUAUCCGGCUUAAAUAAUGUACAGAGAAUGCUGAUCUUGCAUUGAAGUCUGUGAGGUGAAAUCUUUGGCUGCCAUGCAAUCCACCCAUCUGAAGCAUGAAGCUUCUGAAAACGCAUACCUGCUGUACAUUGAAUUUUUUGCCUGGCCUUAUGUCAUUUUAUACUAUAAAGCGUUACGUACUUCAAAGUGGAACUGUUAUACCACUUGAACCUUCCAGUGGAAAAAACAUCUGUUAAGAUCAAUGAUUGUAAAGCACAUUGACAAGCACCCUUCACAACACGUGAAACAUUAAGAAAUGAAUAGACAAUCAUUUGUAUGAUAUAUUUUCAGUUUUGUGAUCACAUACUUUUAUUUUCAACCUGCACAAUCUGCUUUAUUCACUAUACAGACCAGAGGGUGAUUAGUGAGUCAGCACACAUAUUGCUCAACAUUAGGAUUACUCAAUGUUUUGUUGUAUCUUUCUGGUCUAAUCUGUGGCCACAUACUGAUUUACUGCACCUUAUUCACCUGCUUCAAAGUUGCAUCUGAAUUUAACUUCCCUAUAUAUGCUUCUUGUUAGCGGUGCCUAAUAUCAAGUUAUCUGUAAAAGCAUAUAGGACUUGGGUUUACAAUAACUGUAUGAUUUGAAGAAGCAAUAUAACUUCAGUUUUGGGUAUGAGAAAUUGAGGCCCAGAAAAUAAAUAUAUGAAGGUUAAAACUAAAA